rnacentral:lncRNA from 1 species
CCGCUGCCUCCGGGGUGACUCCGAUUCUUCUUGAAACAGGUCUUCGUCGCCACUGCCGUUGCCCUGACUGCCCCCUGGAAUCUAUCCCAUCCUUUUCCCUCUGGGGUUGGGAUUUCGGAGGUGGAGCGAAAUAAGGCGGGGCGAGAGCCGAUAGGUCUGCCACACGCGCUAGAAAACGCAGCUGGGAAGGACAGGAACGGG